GUAAAUGAAAAUUAGCACAUUAAGUCCACAAAAUACAGUGAUAUCAACAAUAAAGCCAAAUAAAAAUCGCAUUAAUAAGCUCGAAUUCUUGAACCUUGAACCGGAAGUUCUGGGUUCUUAUCCCCAGCAGAGUCGCCAGAGCUGUCACACCUCCUUUUUACCUAUACACCGGAAGGGAUAUAAGGGAGUUUUUUCAAUUAAAGUGACAAUAACCGAAACAUGAUUAAUUAUUUUGAAAAUCAGAGUCGCCACUUGAGAUAAUUAUGGUGUCCCAAGUCACCGGUUUAAAAUUCCGAAUCGAGGAAGUUGACUCUUAUUUAUGGUCCGCGAACACAGAAAUUCGGGUAAGGAAUUCUGUUAACCCAGGAGAAGGUGUUAGGCAUUCCCGAGUUCCGUAGUUUUAGCACGGUCGCUUUGAUCAUACUUGGCUUAAUCAGAUUGUUUAAUUACUUAUUUUCAAACCUAUGUGCAUCUACCCCCUUAACCGCUUUUAUUUGCUCAAUUACUAUUAAUUAUGGAAUUAUCUUUAAAAAAUGAGUCACGCGUACGCGUACUCAUUUUAUUUGGCUCGUCAAAAAUUGUGUCACGCGUACGUAUCCACAAUUAAUCACGCCUUAUUAUUAAUAAGAUUGUUUCACCCAAAGUUGAGCGAACGCAUGCCUUGGUUUUAAUUUCUGGAAUCGUAACUAUGUCACGCGAACGUGUACACAACCACGUUAAUUUAUUAAGUCGCCUUCAUUGCAAAAUAAAGAAAAUAAAGGGGUGCGACAGCCAAGCUUAUGCCAGAAACAAUAUAACACGCUACUAUCACUUUCAAUUUUUGUCACUUCUUGCUCUGUUGAUCCAAUGUUCUUUUAAUUCAAUUAUUCACUGCAAAAAUGGUCCAGCUUGGACACAAUACAUUAGUAGAACACACGCUCAACCAAUGGCCACACAUGCAAACUCUGUGUACUCUUAAUCUUCGAGAUUGUUGUAAGACCAAAUUUAUGAACAAAAUAUUAUUGGGGGAAAAUAAGCUAGCCAACAUGAUCUAUUACUUGGCCAAAUUCCUUGUGGUUCAAAACCUACCUUAUGACCCAUUCUUAUUCCUUGCCAAGAAAGAAACAACUCCGAUUUUUCAUUGGCCCGAUUAAAAGUAUUCAAGAACCAAGACUACAUACAUUACAAUCGAAAUAAAAACUAAUCAAAAUAAUUUAAAUGACAACUAAAACAUGUUACUCAAACAACAUAGAAUCACAAAUCAAUCAACACGCACACCAAGCUAUUAUAACACAAUGAAAUGAGAAUUGAAAUUGAGAAAUGGACCUUUUAUUGAUGAACAAAGCUGAAAAAUGCAAAUCAAUCAGGCUAAGCAAAGCAACAAUCCUUGGACCGAAAUACUGAGAUUGCGAACUGGAAUCUCGAAUCGACCGCGCCCAACUGACGGAAAACCCAAUUAAUUUAAAAAAAUCCCAACGAAAUAUUCAUAGAAAAUGGAAUAAGCUACUGCUCAUAGCCGAUGUGGUCAAUGAGACCCAAACUUGACCUUUUGGAAAGCUCUCAAAAUCGGCAGAAUUGCGAGCCACUAUAUCGUCAACUUCUCUGAACUCCUUUAACAAAGAAUCAAAUGCCUCCCUUUUGUCUUUGUGUGUAUGUGUGCCUUUUUUCUUCUUUUUUUUUGCUUUUGAAUUCAAAGACUGCCGUUUUUUGUGCGUUUCUUUUUCCAUUUUAAUGCUGAAAGCAACAACGUUAACAAGUCCAUUAGUGUAGAUUCAAUGAGCACUACUGAAAGAUGAUGGAAUUAAGCGCCUUGCCUUUUUCGCUAUGCCACUAAGCAAUUUUCGGUCACUUCAUCAGCAGGAGGGGAUCUGAAGAAGAUAGAUGGGAUCGCUGGAAAAGCUGGGGGGGGGGGGGGUCUCUUUUUGGGUUCUGCGGCUCUCCUUUUUUG
rnacentral:lncRNA from 1 species